AUCACCUGAAUAUCUUGUUAAAAUGUAGAUUCUCAUUCAGUAGGUCUGGGGUGGUGGAGAUUCUGCAUUUCUAAGAAGCUCCCAGGUGAUGC
rnacentral:miRNA from 1 species